GGUGGCUGCUGGGGACACAUGGGGUGAAAGUGGGUGCUCGGUGGGGUCUGGCCUGGUAUUGGGUACACCCCAGGGUGGUGGAACUGGGGGACUCAGAGCUCAGGAAGCAGCUCCAGCUGCUCCUCCCACAGCUCUCCAAAACCCCACGGCUUUGGGAAACAAUGCCUGCACCCCCAGCUCCCUGUGGGCAUCGGCACCUGGAGCCCAGGCUGCCAUCUGUUUAUUUUGUUGGACUCUGAACUUGCUGAAACGUCUUUCGAUGGAUGAAGGAACACAGAGUAGAAGAGAAGAGCCUGGCAGGCUGCGUGAAAACUGUUUCAAGCAGCAAGACUCGCACUGAGCUGUACCAAACGGCCCCAAAAGCUCAGGACCUCGAGGAUUUGGUUCAUUUUGAAUCAGCAAGUGAAAUUAAAAGCCUGGCAGACCGUAUCCAGCCAUUUCCCCUGCCAUCCCAGAGGCAGGAUGCGGCUGCACAAUGCCCGUGAAGGUACCGGGAGUUUUUUGGUGAUGGGGUGGGGACAGCUCUGCGGCCCGAGGAGGG